UAUUGAUAUAAAUUUAGAGUGAACUGAGUUUGCAAAAACAUGGAUGGAGUGUUUUUAGGCAUUGUGAUUCACUGACUAUUACCUGUCUAUAUUAUAUAACCUGUCUAUAUUAUAUAAUACUACUGUAUUAUUUACUUAAACUUGUUAGUGUAUAAAAGUAACAUACUGUGGGUGCUGGUAGGUGGAGGAUUAGUGGUGCCACAGGACUGUUCUUUGAUGGAGCAUCAGUGAUGAUGCAGGUCAGGAGUGCUGAGGGGACCAUGGUGAGAAUGAAAACAAAAGACCCAGGUAACUGGCUGAUGGUUCACUGGAAUGCUGACUGGCUGCUGACUGACUUGCUGCUGACUGACUGGGUCUAGGGGUGCAUCGUGGAGCAGGGGCCCUCCUCUUUUUGACCACAGGACGAUGCACAAAGAUUGUGGGAAUAGCAUCUGGUCUCAGCCUACUCUUGAAUUUUUUUGGUCAUGACAAAUUGGUUUGCCUCAAAAUGUGCCUGCAGAGUGACUUGAGCGGGGAAGCCAUACAUCCGCACACCUUUCUCUGACCGAGUGGAGCAUCCCCAUGCACCACAGCAAACCAUGGUGGAGACUAUGCAAGGACAACAUGAAAGAAAGGACACAUACAAAAUGCUUGGCAUGCUAUUAAAUUUAUUAGAAAUGUAUUCAUGAAUUGCUGUAAAUAGUUAAUAGCAUUUAUUUGAAUAAAAUACAAAGUAAUCUCAUAAUAUA